rnacentral:rRNA from 1 species
AUUGAACGCUAGCGGCAGGCCUAACACAUGCAAGUCGAACGAGCGGCGGACGGGUGAGUAAUGUAUGGGGACUGCCCGAUAGCGGGGGAUAACUACUCGAAACGGUGGCUAAUACCGCAUACUAUCGGAUGACCCAUAUGGGAUUAGCUAGUAGGUGGGGUAAAGGCUCACCUAGGCGACGAUCCCUAGCUGGGUUGAGAGGAGGAUCAGCCACACUGGGACUGAGACACGGCCCAGACUCCGACGGAGGCAGCAGGGGGGAAUGUUGGACAAUGGGCGAAAGCCUGAUGCAGCAAUGCCGCGUGUAUGAAGAAGGCCUUAGGGUUGUAAAGUACUUUCGGCGGGGAGGCGUUACCCGCAGAAGAAGCACCGGCUAACUCCGUGCCAGCAGCCGCGGUAAUAC